rnacentral:lncRNA from 1 species
CCCCCCCCCAUCCCGGCCGGGCCACCUGGUCGACCUCCUCGAACACUAUAUAAGAGGAUGCCGGGCAGCCGGUGGCGCCCGACAAGCGGCCUCCUCACCGGCCGGACGGAUCAGCCUCGCGGGGGCGGGCGAUGGGGAGGCGUUCGUCCAGGUCAGGUCAGGUCGGGGGAGGGAGGAUGCAGCGCCGGCCGGCCUGGUGCGUCGCCUGGUCCCGAUCCACCCCGCGUCUCGUUUCUCGGGCCGGGACGAGUACAGGCGGGGAGGUUUUGGCGAACGUCCCUGUCCCAGGGCCGUCUGCCGACUAGGGGACGGAGUCCUCCUCCAUGCGCCUUCUCGCCCCCAGUCGGGCGGGUUGUGGGUCGCGCGGUCGACUUGGCCAUUUCACCGGAGGCGUCCUGCCUGCCGGGGCUCCCUCCCUCGGGCCGGUGCGAGCGGUCCUCGGGCGGCCCGGGAAUUUGGGCCGCAGCGAACGAACGAACGAAGCCCGUCCCUCCUGCGUCGGCACGGAUGAGACACAGCCCUGGUGGAUGGAGCCGCUUUCCUCGGGUUUCCUUUUGCUUUCGGCCGCUGCUGCCACCAAACCUCCCUAAACGAUAGGAAUGAAAACGGGAACCGUUGGCAUAAUAAAAGCGUUUUGGUUGGCGUGUUUCUUGGCUUUUGGGGACUCGAGAGGUAUGAUGGAUGAUCUCCGAUUGUCCUUUGGAAGGAAGGUCUAUUUCAUCCCAGUCGCACGAACCCCGCAAACGUGCGGCUGGACGAGGGAGGGAGGGAGGGAGGGAGGGAGGGAGGCCAACCACGGGAUUUCCGCACGACCAGCUGAUGGACACGACCGCCCCCGUGAGCCGGGCGGAGGGCAGCCGCCCGGGUCUCGCAGCUACGUGCCCGCGGAACCCUCGGGACUGCGAGAAGCCCGAGCGACCCGCAGUCACGCGGCGCUCGGCGCGGACAUCUGGUCGGCCCGCGCGCCACGGGACCCGGGGGCCGAUUCCGGGCCGGGCCGCUGGUCGACCCGGCAGGGCGGCGGCCCCGGGGGCCUCGCCGCUGCUCGUCCGCAGGCUCCAGGGAGCCCUCGGGGCUCCGAGAAGCCCGAGCGCCCCGUGGCCCCGCGACCCCGCGG